rnacentral:rRNA from 1 species
GAUGAACGCUAGCGACAGGCUUAACACAUGCAAGUCGAGGGGCAGCACGGGAGUAGCAAUACAACUGGUGGCGACCGGCGCACGGGUGAGUAACGCGUAUGCAACCUACCUAUCAGAGGGGAAUAACCCGGCGAAAGUCGGACUAAUACCGCAUAAAACAGGGGCACCGCAUGGUGAUAUUUGUUAAAGAAAUUCGCUGAUAGAUGGGCAUGCGUUCCAUUAGGUAGUUGGUGAGGUAACGGCUCACCAAGCCGACGAUGGAUAGGGGAACUGAGAGGUUGGUCCCCCACACUGGUACUGAGACACGGACCAGACUCCUACGGGAGGCAGCAGUGAGGAAUAUUGGUCAAUGGGCGAGAGCCUGAACCAGCCAAGUCGCGUGAAGGAAGAAGGAUCUAUGGUUCGUAAACUUCUAUUGCAGGGGAAUAAAGUGCAGGACGUGUCCUGUUUUGCAUGUACCUUAUGAAUAAGGACCGGCUAAUUCCGUGCCAGCAGCCGCAGUAAAAC